AGUGAACGCUGGCGGCAGGCCUAACACAUGCAAGUCGAGCGGCAGCGGGUUCCCGCGAGGGGAUGCCGGCGAGCGGCGGACGGGUGAGGAACACAUCGGAAUCUGCCUGGUUGUGGGGGAUAACGUAGGGAAACUUACGCUAAUACCGCAUGCGACCCUGAGUCGACGGACUGGGGGUGAAAGUGAGGGACCUUCGGGCCUCACGCGACCAGAUGAGCCGAUGUCGGAUUAGCUAGUUGGCGGGUAACGGCCCGCCAAGGCGACGAUCCGUAGCUGGUCUGAGAGGAUGAUCAGCCACACUGGGACUGAGACACGG
rnacentral:rRNA from 1 species